rnacentral:rRNA from 1 species
AACGUAGGAGACAAACGUUAUCCGGAGUUACUGGGCGUAAAGGGCGUGUAGGCGGUUUGUUAAGUCUGGCGUGAAGGCUCUCGGCUAAACCGGGAGAGGUCGUUGGAUACUGGCGAACUAGAGGAUGGUAGAGGCGUGUGGAAUUCCGGGUGUAGUGGUGAAAUGCGUAGAGAUCCGGAGGAACACCAGUGGCGAAGGCGACACGCUGGGCCAUACCUGACGCUAAAGCGCGACAGCAUGGGGAGCAAACGGG